CAGCCGCCGCGGGAAUACGAAGGGGGCUAGCGUUGUUCGGAAUUACUGGGCGUAAAGGGCGCGUAGGCGGCCAUUCAAGUUAGAUGUGAAAGCCCUGGGCUCAACCUAGGAAUUGCAUUUGAUACUGUUUGGCUUGAGUUCGGGAGAGGUGAGUGGAAUUCCCAGUGUAGCGGCGAAAUUCGUAGAUAUUCGCAAGAACACCAGUGGCGAAGGCGGCUCACUGGCCCAUAACUGACGCUGAGGCACGAAAGCGUGGGGAGCAAACAGGAUUAGAUACCCGCGUAGUCCCUGUCUCUUAUAC
rnacentral:rRNA from 1 species